rnacentral:rRNA from 1 species
UGGUGGAGUGAUUUGUCUGGUUAAUUCCGUUAACGAACGAGACCGCUGCCUGCUAAAUAGUCCGGUGAGUGAAUUUCACUGAUUAGGACUUCUUAGAGGGACGUGCAUUCUAUUAGAUGCAGGAGGAUAGCGGCAAUAACA